UAUAAUGAUGUUCAGAUGAAGGGUCAUGAAGGACAUACCUUCAUCAUUUUAACAUAUGAAUGUGAAUAUAAAUAAGAAAGUAAAGGAACACAAAAGAAUAAAAAUUAUGAUGACAGUAUAUCAAUGAUCUAUUCAUUCUUAUAUUUUAUAAACAUGAAUAAACAUCAAUAAUAUUCAUGUUACAUGGGUACCUUCUGCUUGCCAGAAGGUAAGGGUGCGAGAAUGACGCGAGAGUAAUUACAAUCCAGCGUGAACAGUACGGGGUUACUGUUCAUCUAUUUUAUAGGCACGGGAUGUAGCCCGAGUAAAAGUACAUUUAUGUCCCUGGUAACAAUCUAUAAUAUUAACAAGAAUUAUUAAGGACUGUAUGAUCUUUAUCCUUUUUCAAUCGUUAUCAUACUUGAGCUUCGUCAACAUGUUCAGCCGAAGUCCUUUAGCUUCUAGCUUCGUCACCCACUCUUUAUUUUCCUUCGUUCUGUUAUAAGAGAAGUUCUCCAUCCCAAAGCCGAAGCUUCCUGUAACUAGCUGAAAACAUAUGGUUAGUCACAUUUUUGAGGACCUUCGGAAGAGGAAGGCCCCCAACAGUAGCCCCUCGCAGUAUUAAUUUGUUUCCUUGUAAUAAAUUUAGACUGCGACGUGAAUGAAGGCCUUUAGCCGAAGGUUCAAAAAAACACCUUCCCUUCGCUAGAAUAGCGAACGACACUAACAUGUCGGACCCACCAAAUCGUGGGGCGCUAGGCAUAUAAACAGGAACUCGUAUUAAAAGCAUUUUUUAUGCCAUCACAGUUGCUUACACUGUGCUUGCCAUUUUAGACUUUCUUGCUUUGUCGAGUUUUGAUCGGAUUUUAAGCUUCGGCAUUUCAACAAGCUUUGAUUUGAUGGCUGGCAAGACGAAGACUGUCGACCCGACGUUGUCCGAGUUUUACGAAGCUAUGGAAAGAACCAAUGCAGAAAAGAUAUCACAUGAGACACUAGCUGGGAUAUCUGAGGGUUCCAGUCAUAGUGAAGACUUUGAUGUAGAAAGUGAGAAUGAGGGUGCCGAAGAUCAGCCCUGGAGACCAAGUCAUGUUGUCUUCGAGAAAUCAACCAUCAAGCAAGGACAAAUUAAUGCAAUGAGGGGAAGGUACUUCCGUGACAUUUCUAUUGUGAGGGCUGGAGGGGAGAAUAAUGUCCCUCUGCCCGAAGCUGACGAGGUGGUUGUCUAUAGAAGCUUCAUGAAAGUAGGGCUUCGGUUUCCUCUGGAUAAGAUGUUGGUCGAAGUGCUGAAAACCUUCGAAGUUUACCUUCAUCAACUUACCCCCAAAGCCAUCAUCAAGAUGGGGAUUUAUAUUUGGGCCACGAGGAGCCAAGGGCUAGAACCAAAUGUUAAAUGCUUCUGCAACAUGCAUGAAUUGUCUUAUGAGACGAAGGCCACAGGAAAAGAGCAAUAUCACAACAACUUUGGUUGCUAUGGCUUCGUAACCCGCUCUAAAGUGAGCAACCGAGUUCCAACAUUUCGCAAGAGAUGGCCGGGAGCCUGGAUGCAAGAAUGGUUCUAUGUGAAGAAUGAUCUGGUUGAAAGGGAAGACAUCAAGGGGAUUAUCCAACGUCCUAUAUGGUCUCACUUCGGCAUCAGGAGACCAUCCCUUGCCCUUGGGAGUGACAUACAAGUGUGCCAAGCUGCUUUUAACACAGUAUGCACUUACAUACGCACCAGGGACUUAGUCCAGGAGCAUAUUGCCUACAAAGUGUGGCCACUCGGAAGUGGGUGGGAGAUGCCGAAGGAGGCUGCUGCUAGGUCUUGCCAAGGUGGCUUGGUUUAUUUGAAGUAUACAUUCAAAUACAGGAGCCAAUUUGAUGAGCCAAACGAUGACUGGCUAGAUGCCCUUGAAGCAACCAGCGAUGAAUUACUUGGUGCUUAUUCAAGGGCCAAAGAUGAUGCUAUGAUGGCGGCCUUCGAAGGUCGAGGCAAGAAAAGGCUGAAUAGGAUUUUUGAUGUCAUUGGUUUCGUAUACCCAGAUUACUAUUAUCCUUCACAAAAACAAGGAAAGAAAAGAAGAGUUGCUGCUUCGGCGAUUUCUACUACGCCGAAGCCGAAAAAAGUUAAAGUCUUGACACAUCGCCCCAAGCGUGCUGAGGCGGCCGAAGAGCCGAGGCCUGCUGAAGGGUCUUCUGCUUUUGAGUCAAGUCACCCCGCUCCUGCCAAAGCCAAGACAGAAACAGCCGAAGAGGCAGGACCGAAGAUAGCGUCGAAGCAGCUGAAAGUUUUGAGUCCAUUACAAGAGACAGAACCACCGAGGGUACCAAAGAUUGCUUCAGUAACUCCAAAGAGAAGAAGAAUGGCCAGCGUAUUAGACGUUGUUAUAGAAUCUGUAAUGGCGUCGACUUCUGCCUCAACACCUGCUACCGAGGCGAAGCCCUAAAGAAAUCUAGCGAAGCUACCAUAGCGCAGACUACUGCUGAUGCUGGACCAUGAGAGCACCUAGAGGGGGGGUAAAUAGGUGAUCCUAUAAAACCAAACACUAAUAGCCACAAAACUUAGAUUAAAGAGUUAGUACGGCUAAGUAGCUUUGAAGCGAGUUCUUGUGAACACAACAAUCACAGAGAAAGCAACACAAGUGACACGCGUUUUUUAUCCCGUGGUUCGGCCAAGUAAUACUUGCCUACUUCCAUGUUGUGGCGUCCAAAUGGACGCGGGUUGCACUCAACCCCUUUCAAGUGAUCCAAUGAUCAACUUGAAUACCAUGGCUUUCUUCCUUAUAGUCUUUCUCCCGUUUGCAAGGAAUCUCCACAAGUUGGAGCCUCUCUCCCUUACAAUAAAGAUCACAAAGAAGGCACAAGAGUAAAGUUGGGAGAAGCAACGCACACACAACACAAUUCCACAGCACACACACGCACACAAGUCAAGACUUGAGCUUGAAACGUAGCACAGGGAGUUCACAACUCGAACGGAGCUCAAAUCACUAACACAUUCGAUCAAAUGCGCAGAGGCGGAGUGUGGGAGUCUUAGAAUGCUUAGUGAAUGCUUGGGUGUCUCCUCCAUGCGCCUAGGGGUCUCUUUUAUAGCCCCAAGGCAGCUAGGAGCCAUUGGAGACAAACUUGGAAGGUCAUCGUUGCCUUCUGUCGAGUGGCGCACCGGACAGUCCGAUGCGCCACCGGACAGCUACUGUAGUCUGUCCGGUGCGUGAUUGCCUUGCAAAUCGGGCACAGACGACCGUUGCAGCUCCGGGCCCGUUGGCGCACUGGACAGUUCGGUGCCACCCAUCGACCGUUGGAGCUGCCACGCGUCGCCCGCAGAUUUCACGGUCGACCAUUGGCUCACCGGACAGUCCGGUGCACCACCGGAUAGUCCGGUGAAUUUUAGCCACGUCGCCUUUCUUCAUUCCCGAGAGCAACGAGUUCGCCGCGGAUGACCCACCGGACAGUCCGGUGAAUUAUAGUCGUACACCGUCGUCGAUUCCUGAGAGCAGCGCUUUCACCGGAGACCAGCCUGGCGCACCGGACAAUGUCCGGUGCACCACCGGACAGUCCGUUGUGCCAGACUUAGCUAAAGUUUGGCUGCAUAGAGCCAAGUCCUUUCCAUUUCUUUUCUCUUUCCUUUGUCAUUGUUUCUAGCACUUAGACAAACACAUUAGCAUUCAAAAAACAAUGUACUAAGUCUAGAAACAUACCUUGUGCCUUGAUUUGUACUUCUCACUUUAUUGGGCACAUAAGAACUUAAUCAUACAUGUUGGACAUUUAAUCACCAAAACAUUAUGGAAAUGGCCCAAAGGCACAUUUCCCUUUCAGACCAUCAGUCCCCGCCGAAGCAAAAUCUUCGAAGGCUGCUGAAGAAGGUACCAAACCAAGACCUUCGGAGGGUGCUGGAGCGCCAUUAAUGUUGGAAAAAGAAUGUGCUGAAGAAUCUGAAUCUCCUACCCCAGAGCGUCUAUUGAAGAAUUGGAAUUCAUAGUGCGACAUGCUUCGGGGAAAAGUUAUCGAAGGAGCAAAUUGCCGAAGCACAACAUUAUGCCAAAGAUCUGAAGUACCCUCGAGGGUCCUUGGUGUAUAGUGGCGAUGACGAAGAUGACUUCCUUUAUUGUCUGCCAGACAAUAAGGAGAUACAUGUCUGUCGGGAGAUGGCAGAUAAUGUAGGAUAUCCGAAGCUUGAACUAGGCAUGUCUGCAAUGACGAAGGACCAGUUUGCAGACAACCUUGCCUAUAACAGUCUGAAGGUGAGAAUAUUGUAACUUGUUGGAAAAUAUAUUAUUUUUGUAGUUUAUUUCUUUAUCAGUAUGUGCUCAUCCUUUGUUUUUGUAGGGCUUAAUUCUGAGCAAGGCCUUAAGGGUCCAGAAGAAAGCAGAAGAUGAAAGCUGUCAGCUGGCUCUUGGAAAUCUUCGAUCAGAGGUUAUUACACUGAGGAAUGAAUCUCUUGAAAAAGAAAAAAUACUGCUCUCCUUAGUUGAUUGGCUGAAAACCAGCGAGGCUAAACUUAACGCACAAGCCGAAGCUCACAAAGCCGAGGUUGAAGAUUUACAGAAAAAACUUGCUGAAAUAAAUGAAAAUUUCGAAGUUGUGAAGGCUAAGCAAGAAAUAAGUGAAAUGGAAAGAGCCAGGGUGCAGAAGAAUAUUGAAGAACUUUGGGAUUCUAAAGAAAAAUGCUAUGAAGUAUCCAUGGAAUGCGCAAAGAAACUGAAAGAUAGCUCCACAAAGGUGGGAGAAUAUUCAUCAGAGCAAAAAUUUAUCCGUGGUGAUCCCGAAGGGGUUAUCCAGUGGAUCGACGAAGAGGUCGAAGCUUUUGAAGAAAUUCUCAGCGACCAUGGGGACUUUUGUGCCUUCGCCGGUGCACGAGGGGUUGCAGCAAUUUUGGAAAAACCGGCUGCGAACAUGUUAAGGCUGCAGCCCAAGCAGAAGCCAUCUUCUCAAUAGAUGACACAAAGGAACCUUCGGCCGAUGCUUCUUUGAUUGGCGGGAAAAUCUAUUCUGAUGUUUGGAUGAAGGGUGGCCGUGAGAUGGCCGAUGAAGCCAUAAAAAAGAGUGAAAAAGAAUCUCACGAUGCCCGAGAAGAGGCAAAGCAAGCAGAAGAAGCCACUGAACGCGCAAUGAUUAUAGGUAUCCUUUUAAAGCUUUUUUUGCCUUGUUGUUUGUUUCUUGCUUCGAAAUUCACCAUUACGUUCUUCAUUACAGCCGGCCUUUCGCCACCACCGGAGCCAUACAACCCUAAGGCUGACCCAGCUAUGAAAGAGGCUUUGGAUGUGAUGAAGAUUGCUAACGAAGUCAUCGACGAAGUUGUUGACAGACAAUUACAUGAAGCCGCUGAGAAGAUUCUAAAAGAAUAUUAAAUUCUUGUAUGCUAGAAACUGUAAAUGCUUGUGUGUGGUUGCCGCCAUGUGCACGGGACAAACAUCAAUUAUUUGUGUGUAAAUUAAUGAAAUUAAUGUAAUAUAUUUUUCUUUGUGAUGCCUAAAACUGACAUACGUAUCGUUUUUUAGCCUUCGGCAAAAAAACACCUUUCCUUCUUUUCAUGCUUCGCAAAGAAAGAUUGCCCCCUCGAUCGAUUGAAUGCUACAUGCUUUGUCACAACUUUUGUAUAAUAAUAUUGCUGAAGAUUUCCCUGCUGUGUAAAAAUAUGUCUGUCGAAGGUAUACUUUGUGCUUUAGCACAUUCUUUCAUAAUCCAGCAAGUGUUUUCGGAGAAGCAUUUUUCCCUCUCCACAAUUUUUUCGCUGAUUCAAUAUGAUGUAUGAUGUAAUGCUAUGCAAUAUGAUGUGAUGGUAUGAUGCAGUAUGAUGUUUAUGCCAAAGAUGAACACCCACACGAAAACACACCCAGACUUUGCAUUCCCUUAGGAACGACUUUGGAGUCUCUUCACCUUUUACUUAGGUGGUAAUUCAGUUCUGCAAUCCCUUAGGAACGACUUUGGAGCUAAGCUCUGCAUCCCCUUAGGAACAACUUUGGAGCUUCUUCACCUUUGAUUUAGGUGGUAUUUAAGCUCUGCAUCCCCUUAGGAACGACUUUGGAGCUUCUUCACCUUUUACUUUGGUGGCAUUUUGGAUCUGCAUUCCCUUAGGAAUGACUUUUGAGCUUCGAAACUUACUCUAGGCUCCCUUAGGAACGUCUUUGUAGCUUCGAAACUUACUUUGCGUUCCCUUAAGAACGACUUUAUAACUUUAGAACUUAAUUCUGUCACACUCGAUGGUGUAACCACAGUAUUGUUUCAACAAGUUGAAAGUUAAUCCCUCCUGUAUUGUUUUUCUGGCAAGAAAAGAUAAAGGCAGAAAGAGUUAAGAUACAUUAGAUCAACAUAUUCUUUGGCCGAGCCGCCGUAGUCCCUUUAGUAGAUGUGCUUCGAUUCAGGCACAGUGUUGUUGACUGUGCGAGCUUCGGACUCCUCCCAAAGGUCGCGCUGUUGCUGAGUAUGAUUGUGCCCUUCUGAUUGCCGAUUGUGAACCAGCGGUGGUGGUGGUGGAAACUGAGGCCAGGAAGCUCGAGAAUGACUUACCGAAGCGACAGAAGCCGUAGGUUGUUGAUUUCCUACAUAUUCUGGGAUGUAUGGAGAGUAGCACGAAGCAGUAUGGAGGACUUGCUUCGGCUGACUCUGCUACGCCUCGGCUUCAACAAUUUCCUUUUGCUUCUGAAUUAUGACCUGACAUGUCCUUGUUGUAUGGCCAUUGCCCUCGCCACAAAAAAGGCAGUACAACUUUCUGGAUUGAUUGCCGAAGCUUCCUCCACUGAAGCUUCUUCCUCCUCUGCCUCUCGGAGCUGGUGGUCUGAAAGAAGUCUGCUGCAUGCUCGAAGACUAGGAGCUAUGAUGGCUGUUCUAAGCAUUAUUGGCCCUUUCAUCAUUGGCAUUGGAGUUAUGAAUUGACCGGACAUGUCAGGGAUGAAGUCUUCCUCCGAAGCACCUGGUCAUUUCAGAAAACCUGUAUGCUUCCUCCCUUCUUUGGCGAAAAUCAUUAUCGGUCUGGAUGUACUCAUCCAUCUUCUGAAAAAGCUUCUCAAGGGUUUAUGGGGGCUUCCUGGCAAAAUACUGGGCUGUAGGUCCUGGCCGAAGCCCCUUGAUCAUGGCCUCAAUGACAAUUUCAUUGGGCUAUAGGUGCUUGAGCUCUCAGCCGCAAGAACCUUUGGAUAUACGCCUGAAGGUACUCCUCAUGGUCCUGCGUGCACUAAAACAAAGCCUGAGCAGUGAGUGGCUUUGUUUGAAAGCCUUGGAAGCUAGUGACUAGCAUAUCCUUGAGUUUCUGCCAUGAUGUGAUUGUUCCUGGUAGAAAGGGAGGAGUACCAUGUCUGGGCCACGCUUCGGACUGCCAUGACGAAGGACUUCGCCAUGACAGCAGCGUUGCCCCCAUACGAGUAUAUUGUUGCCUCGUAGCUCAUCAAGAAUUGCUUUGGAUUUGAGUGCCCAUCAUACAUGGGCAACUGUGGUGGCUUGUAGGAUUGUGGCCACGGAGUAGCCUGCAAUUCUGCUGCCAGAGGAAAAGCAUCAUCAAAAGUAAAGUUACCAUGAUGAAAGUCAUUGUACCAUUCAUCUUCGUUGAAUGAGCUCUCCUGACGAAGCUCCCUGUGCUGAGGCCUACGGUCCUGGUCAUCUUGAGUAAGAUGACGCAUUUCCUUAGCGGCUUCGUCCAUCUUCUUCUGAAGAUCAGCCAGACGAAGCAUCUUCUCCUUUUUCCUUUGCACUUGUUGGUGGAUUGCUUCUAAAUCCCUGAUCUCCUUGUCAAUCUGCUCCUCCUGAAGAGUUAGGCUGGUGGCCUUUCUCUUUUGGCUCCUGGCCUCUCACAGAGAGAGUGCGUCCUAAUUUGUGUCCAGUGGCUGUAGCGCAGCCCCUGGCACCGUUGCCUUCUUCGGCGGCAUGUCAAAGGUGGAUGUUUUGCCAAAGGUUUGUGGAAGUGAGUUCACCGAAGGUGGGCGCCAAUGUCGGUCACUUGUUCUCAAAUGCUAUAAAUAAAGAACAAGGCAACGUAAUUGUUAAUGGUUAAAGGCCUUCGUCCUUCGAAGCAUUAUUUCCUCUCGGAUAUAAUGAUCUUCAGACGAAAGGGUCAUGAAGGACAUACCUUCAUCAUUUUAACAUAUGAAUGUGAAUAUAAAUAAGAAAGUAAAGGAACACAAAAGAAUAAAAAUUAUGAUGACAAUAUAUCAAUGAUCUAUUCAUUCUUAUAUUUCAUAAACAUGAAUAAACAUCAAUAAUAUUCAGGUUACAUCGGUAUCUUCGGCUUGCCAGAAGGUAAGGGUGCGAGAAUGACGCG
rnacentral:lncRNA from 1 species